rnacentral:rRNA from 1 species
GGGAAACCGAGUCUUAAUUGGGCGUUAAGUUGCAGGGUAUAGACCCGAAACCCGGUGAUCUAGCCAUGGGCAGGUUGAAGGUUGGGUAACACUAACUGGAGGACCGAACCGACUAAUGUUGAAAAAUUAGCGGAUGACCUGUGGCUGGGGGUGAAAGGCCAAUCAAACCGGGAGAUAGCUGGUUCUCCCCGAAAGCUAUUUAGGUAGCGCCUCGUGAAUUCAUCUCCGGGGGUAGAGCACUGUUUCGGCUAGGGGGCCAUCCCGGCUUACCAACCCGAUGCAAACUGCGAAUACCGGAGAAUGUUAUCACGGGAGACACACGGCGGGUGCUAACGUCCGUCGUGAAGAGGGAAACAACCCAGACCGCCAGCUAAGGUCCCAAAGUCAUGGUUAAGUGGGAAACGAUGUGGGAAGGCCCAGACAGCCAGGAUGUUGGCUUAGAAGCAGCCAUCAUUUAAAGAAAGCGUAAUAGCUCACUGGUCGAGUCGGCCUGCGCGGAAGAUGUAACGGGGCUAAACCAUGCACCGAAGCUGCGGCAGCGACGCUGAUGCGUUGUUGGGUAGGGGAGCGUUCUGUAAGCCUGUGAAGGUGUGUCGUGAGGCAUGCUGGAGGUAUCAGAAGUGCGAAUGCUGACAUAAGUAACGAUAAAGCGGGUGAAAAGCCCGCUCGCCGGAAGACCAAGGGUUCCUGUCCAACGUUAAUCGGGGCAGGGUGAGUCGACCCCUAAGGCGAGGCCGAAAGGCGUAGUCGAUGGGAAACGGGUUAAUAUUCCCGUACUUGGUGUUACUGCGAAGGGGGGACGGAGAAGGCUAUGUUGGCCGGGCGACGGUUGUCCCGGUUUAAGCGUGUAGGUGUGUGUUCCAGGUAAAUCCGGUUCACUUUAACACUGAGGCGUGAUGACGAGGCACUACGGUGCUGAAGCAACAAAUGCCCUGCUUCCAGGAAAAGCCUCUAAGCAUCAGGUAACAUCAAAUCGUACCCCAAACCGACACAGGUGGUCAGGUAGAGAAUACCAAGGCGCUUGAGAGAACUCGGGUGAAGGAACUAGGCAAAAUGGUGCCGUAACUUCGGGAGAAGGCACGCUGACAC